rnacentral:rRNA from 1 species
CCGGCGACCGGCGCACGGGUGAGUAACACGUAUGCAACCUGCCCGUCUCAGGGGGAUAAUCGUCGGAAACGGCGUCUAAUACCCCGUAUGAAGCUGGACGGCAUCGUCUGGUUUUGAAAGAAUAUCGGAGACGGAUGGGCAUGCGGCGCAUUAGCUAGUUGGCGGGGUAACGGCCCACCAAGGCGACGAUGCGUAGGGGUUCUGAGAGGAAGGUCCCCCACAUUGGAACUGAGACACGGUCCAAACUCCUACGGAAGGCAGCAG